rnacentral:rRNA from 1 species
AUUAACGUUGGUAGUAUGCCUAACACAUGCAAGUCGAACGGGAUUAUAGCAAUAUAAUUCAGUGGCGAACGGGUGAGUAAUGCUUAUCUUACUUGCCAAUUAGUGGGGGAUAACCAGAGGAAACUUUGGCUAAUACCGCAUUUGUUGCUUCGGUAAUGAAAGGAGGUCGCAAGAUUUUCGCUAAUUGAGAGGGAUAAGCCGCAUCAGUUAGUUGGUGGGGGUAAUGGCCUACCAAGACUAUGACGCGUAGCCAGGCUGAGAGGCUGAUUGGCCACAAGGAACUGAGACACGGUCCUACUCCCAAGGGAGGCAGCAGUGAGGAAUUUUCCGCAAUGGGGGCAACCCUGACGGAGCAAUACUACGUGAAGGAGGAAGGUCUACGGAUUGUAAACUUCUGUUAGUGCGGAAGAAGAGCUGAACGUAAGUUUAGUUUUGACGGUACGCACAGAGAAAGCCACGACUAACUACGUGCCAGCAGUCGCGGUAAGACGUAGGUGGCGAACGUUAUCCGGAAUUAUUGGGCGUAAAGGGUGCGUAGGCGGCAUGAUAAGUUAUUGGCGGGAAAUCGAGGCUCAACCUCGUGGAAACUAAUAAUACUGUUUUGCUUGAGUACAGGGGAGGUUAACGGAACUCCAUGUGGAGCGGUAAAAUGUGUAGAUAUAUGGAAGAAACAUCAAUAACGGCGAAGGCAGUUAACUAUUCUGUUACUGACGUUGAGGCACGAAAGCGUGGGGAGCAAAACGGAUUAGAUACCCGUGUAGUCCACGCCCUAAACGAUGAGUACUAGAUAUUGGGAACUUGAUUCUCAGUGUCGCUAGGUAACCCAGUAAGUACUUCCGCCUGGGUAGUACGCUCGCAAGAGUGAAACUCAAAGGAAUUGACGGGGACUCGCACAAGCAGUGGAGCAUGUGGUUUAAUCCGAUACAACGCGUAGAACCUUACCAAGGCUUGACAUGUCUGGCAAAAACUGUGGAAACACAGCGGAGGUUAUCCAGACACAGGUGCUGCAUGGCCGUCGUCAGUUCGUGCCGUGAGGUGUAUGGUUAAGUCCUAUAACGAACGCAAACCCUUGGACUUAGUUUGCCGGCAUUCAGUUGGGGACUCUAGGUCGACUUGCCUGAGCAAUCAGGAGGAAGGAAAGGAUGACGUCUGGUCGUCAUGGCCCUUAUUGCCUUGGGCGACAACACGUGCUACAAUGGUUAACACAAAGGGAUGCCAACCCGCGAGGGGGAGCCAAGCCCAAAAAAAUUAACCUCAGUUCGGAUUGGAGGCUGCAACUCGCCUCCAUGAAGUUGGAAUUGCUAGUAAUCGCAAAUCAGCCAUGUUGCGGUGAAUACGUUCUCGAGUCUUGUACACACCGCCCGUCAAAUCACGAAAGUCGGUAAUGCCCGAAACCAGUUGGUUAACCCGUAAGGGAUGCGGCUGACAAGGGUAGGAUUGGCAAUUGGGGUU